rnacentral:pre_miRNA from 1 species
UUUAUACUUCCUCCGUUCAACAAAAGAUGUCUCAAGUUUGAAUGUAUACAUGACUUAGUGUAUAGAUGUAUUCAAAUUUUGUUAAAGUUGAGACAUCAUUUGUUGGAUGGAGGAAGUACAAA